UGUACCUGCGUUCAUGGCUGUCUGGGGCAUCCUGGAGCAUCGGCUGCAUCUCCUCCUGGGGUGAGGGGGUGAGAGUGGCUGUGGACUGGUGACUGUAAGACACGGCAGCAGGGGAAGAAGCUGCCCCACGGAUGGGAGGAGUGGGCCCCCUCUCCAUCUCUUCUUCCUCCUCCAGCUCAUCAGGCUGCAGCACUGCUGACACCUUCUCCACCUCUUUGAUAUGCCACUGAAAGAGAGAAAAUGAGUUUGUCGUGAUUCCACCAACGUUAUGAUCGUCGUGAUGUCCUUCUUUUCACCACAGUCAUGUCGCCAUCAUCUUUCCUCCAGCGGACAGUGGGAACUGGAUCGCCACGGGCCUCACACCUGAACUCUACGCUUUGGUCCACUAACACCACCUGGCUA